CCUACGGGAGGCAGCAGUAAGGAAUAUUGGACAAUGGAGGCAACUCUGAUCCAGCCAUGCCGCGUGCAGGAAGAAGGCGCUACGCGUUGUAAACUGCUUUUGUACCAGAGAAAAUCAUUGUACGUGUACGAUGUUGAUAGUAUGGUAAGAAUAAGCAUCGGCUAACUUCGUGCCAGCAGCCGCGGUAAUACGAAGGAUGCAAGCGUUAUCCGGAUUUAUGGGUUUAAAGGGAGCGUAGGCGGUCUUAUAAGUCAGUGGUGAAAUCUCGUUGCUUAACAACGAACGUGCCAUUGAUACUGUAGGACUUGAGUACAGUUGCCGUUGGCGGAAUGUGUCAUGUAGCGGUGAAAUGCAUAGAUAUGACACAGAACACCGAUUGCGAAGGCAGCUGACGAAACUGUAACUGACGCUGAGGCUCGAAAGCUGGGGAUCAAACAGGAUUAGAUACCCUGGUAGUCCACGUCCUAAACUAUGAUUACUGCUGUCGCGNUAUAUGUCGUGNGUAGAGAAGAGUAGUAAUACACGNGGAGUAGCCGCGAGAGACGAGAGAAGUAGAGNGNGAGAGNGCGAGGAGACACGAGGGAGAGG
rnacentral:rRNA from 1 species